AGAUGUGAGGGUGAUCUGGCUGUGAUAUCUCUUAACUCAACAUGAGUUGAUUUGUCUGAUCUGGCUGGCUGAUAGGGUGUUCUAUCCUCCCUCACCACUCCUUCCUAAAAUUGUGUACUCAUUCAAAGAGGACAAACUUUCCUGAUUAAGGAGGAACAUAUUUUGUCCACGGGUACAUAAGGUUAUACUGGAACCACCAAAAAAGNNNNN
rnacentral:snRNA from 1 species